rnacentral:rRNA from 1 species
AUUGAACGCUGGCGGCAGGCCAAACACAUGCAAGUCGAACGAGUGGCGGACGGGUGAGUAAUGUCUGGGAAACUGCCUGAUGGAGGGGGAUAACUACUGGAACCGGUAGCUAAUACCGCAUACCAUCGGAUGUGCCCAGAUGGGAGUAGCUCGUAGGUGGGGUAACGGCGCACCUAGGCGACGAUCCCUAGCUGGUCUGAGAGGAUGACCAGCCACACUGGAACUGAGCCACGGGCCAGACUCCGACGGGAGGCAGCAGUGGGGAAGAUUGCACAAUGGGCGCAAGCCUGAUGCAGCCAUGCCGCGUGUAUGAAGAAGGCCUUCGGGUUGUAAAGUACUUUCAGCGGGGAGGCGUUACCCGAAGAAGAAGCACCGGCUAACUCCGUGCCAACAGCCGCGGUAAUAC